rnacentral:misc_RNA from 1 species
UCCUCGUUAUAGCGAGGCAGUCUGUCCAGAGUGCUCCGGACUAUUCAUCCGGGUGGCAACAGGACAUGAGGGUUGCGCUCGUUGCGGGACUUAACCCAACAUCUCACGACACGAGCUGACGACAGCCAUGCAGCACCUGUGCAAGCUCCCCUUGCGGGGUCGUCACCCUUUCAGGCUUCUACCACUUGCAUGUCAAGGCCAGGUAAGGUUCUUCGCGUUGCAUCGAAUUAAGCCACAUACUCCACCGCUUGUGCAGGCCCCCGUCAAUUUCUUUGAGUUUUAAUCUUGCGACCGUACUUCCCAGGCGGCGUAUUUAUCGCGUUAGCUACGCCACAAAAGGGGUCGAAUCCUUUUACAGCAAAUACGCACCGUUUACGGCUAGGACUAC